GACAAAACUGAAAUAUAUUGUGGAAUUGUAGAACACUGGAAGCAAAAUAUCAAACCAAGUGAAGCCACAAUAAUCACAGAGGUCAAGAACGGACAUACCGGUGCAGCAGCCCAUGUCUGAUGUAGCUGAGUUGACUUUGCGAGAUAUAGCAUCAGACAAUCUGUUAUGUGAGAUUGUACAUGACAACGAAGAACCCUACAUGAUCACCUUCACUCAAGAUAACCCCAUGUGCCAACAAUACAGACACAAAUGA